GUCAUUUUAUAACGCUUUUAUAAGUACUAUAAGUCCUGAGCCCUAGUUAGUACAAAGUUAUUAUUUAUUAGUAAUAUUUUAAUUAUUAUUUAGAAGUGGCACUCAAAUUUGUUAAUUUUAAUCUUCAUGGAUUUAGUUUAAACCAAUAUACUACACGGAGUGAUCAAUCUAGCAUAAGACCUUUUUAUAAAGGGAGAUCAAUCUAGAUCACCCUGUAUAAUAAAGGCUGAUACUGCUAUUGGGUAUGCCACAGUUUUAGAAAGAAGUUUGAAGAGACGAUACAUAGAUCAAUUUAAUGUAUAUCUGUACUCAGUGAUAAACAAACUACAUUUUAUUUUAUUGAUGUUCGCUUGCUAAUGAUUCUAAAUAGAGUAUUAUUAGUCAUAUACAUUUCCUUGU